AGAGUCUCCGGUGACUGACGGAAUUGUGGAGAUACCACGAGGGAGCAGGAGAUUUGUAACGCCGACCGUCUGGGCAGUAUUU
rnacentral:ncRNA from 2 species